GAUGAACGCUGGCGGCGUGCCUAAUACAUGCAAGUCGAGCGAACAGAUGAGGAGCUUGCUCCUCUGACGUUAGCGGCGGACGGGUGAGUAACACGUGGAUAACCUACCUAUAAGACUGGGAUAACUUCGGGAAACCGGAGCUAAUACCGGAUAAUAUAUUGAACCGCAUGGUUCAAUAGUGAAAGACGGUUUUGCUGUCACUUAUAGAUGGAUCCGCGCCGCAUUAGCUAGUUGGUAAGGUAACGGCUUACCAAGGCAACGAUGCGUAGCCGACCUGAGAGGGUGAUCGGCCACACUGGAACUGAGACACGGUCCAGACACCGACGGGAGGCAGAAGUAGGGAAGCUUCCGCAAAGGGCGAAAGCUUGAAGGAGCAACGCCGCGUGAGUGAUGAAGGUCUUCGGAUCGUAAAACUCUGUUAUUAGGGAAGAACAAAUGUGUAAGUAACUAUGCACGUCUUGACGGUACCUAAUCAGAAAGCCACGGCUAACUACGUG
rnacentral:rRNA from 1 species